rnacentral:rRNA from 1 species
UACGUAGGUGGCGAGCGUUGUCCGGAUUUACUGGGCGUAAAGGGCGUGCAGGCGGUUUGUUAAGUGCAGGGUGAAAGCUCCCGGCUCAACUGGGAGAGGUCCUUGCAUACUGGCGAACUCGAGGGAGGCAGAGGAAAGUGGAAUUCCCCGGUGUAGUGGUGAUAUGCGUAGAUAUCGGGAGGAACACCUGUGGCGAAGGCGGCUUUCUGGGCCUUACCUGACGCUGAGACGCGAAAGCGUGGGGAGCGAACCGG